GUGGAGGAGAUACUAUAUGUACUGGCUCAUUAUGAAUAGGUUCUACAGGUCUUAUGACUGUUGCUCUUCUAAGACUCUCUCUUUGAGCUUAUCCUCUUAUUAUCUCUAUUAUGGAUAAACUAUUUUCCAAGAAGACAGCAUGAUAGGUCACAAUCACGUUGUGAUCCAUUGGGAAGAAAAAGUAGUAUCCCAAACUCUUUAGGUUACCCUAUGAAAUGAGCUCUCAUAGAUCUAGCUUCUAACUUGUCUGCUAUGACAUAUCUCAUACAGUG
rnacentral:lncRNA from 1 species